rnacentral:lncRNA from 1 species
AAAGACCUGAUUGGUGUAGAUUCUGUUAAAAUAAAAAUUUUGUGGAAAGUGAAUUCUUUGAAAAACUUGUAGUUAAAAAGAAUGUACUAAUCAAUGUGCAAGAUUAUUUUAUUGUAAGAAUGUGUAAUUAGAAAUAUAUUUUGGAGAAUGACGAGUUUUAAAAAUUUUGUACAAAUAAAUAAAAAAUAAAGAGAAAAUUGUAAUAGAAAUCUCAAGUCUUUUAAAAAAUAACAAAUAUAGGCCUCGUUUGAUAUUCAUUUUUUCGAAAUGUAUUUUUCUUUCUCUUCUUUUCAACCACACAUUCUUUAUUAUAAUGAUAUUACAAGCAAAUCAAAAACUUUCCUUAUUUUUAACCAUACAUUUUCCAUCAAUUUACUAUUCAAAAAUACAUUUUUACAUAAAAAUAUUUUUCAAACAUCCUCAUAAUGUCUUCGGAACACACAUAAUACCAGUCAAACUAAAACACGUGUUAGAACAAGGCAACCCUAAACAGAGCAGCCGUUCAUUCCUAUGCCAAAUCGAAAGCGACCACCGUCCAACUCCACCAAUCUACAGUGGCCAUUUUCUUCAAUAAAUUUUGAAAGCUGCAAUUUCCAUUUCAACCUCUUAGACUGUAGAAUCAACAACUGGCAACUGGUCACUUUUGCUAAACAACUGUUGAUGAUGAUAUUUUAUUAGCCCUUUUUUAUUGUUUUCUUCCAAUUUUUAGUUAUUGGUGGAACCCAAAUCUAGAAUUCUAUUUCCACCUUUCAUGUCCUUUUCAAUCUUUAUCCGAAAAUUUGCCAAAUCGAAAGCGACCACCGUCCAACUCCACCAAUCUACAGUGGCCAUUUUCUUCAAUAAAUUUUGAAAGCUGCAAUUUCCAUUUCAACCUCUUAGACUGUAGAAUCAACAACUGGCAACUGGUCACUUUUGCUAAACAACUGUUGAUGAUGAUAUUUUAUUAGCCCUUUUUUAUUGUUUUCUUCCAAUUUUUAGUUAUUGGUGGAACCCAAAUCUAGAAUUCUAUUUCCACCUUUCAUGUCCUUUUCAAUCUUUAUCCGAAAAUUCUUGUAAGUAAUAUAUUUCUUGAUAUUUUUUUUCUUCAGCCAUCCACCAGUUUUAGUGUAGAUUUCCAUUUCAUCUUGGUUCCGUUUGUCAUCAAAAUUUCUUCUUUUAUUCUUAUAAGUUAGUAGUAAUGAUAUUGGUUGAUACAUCAACUAUUUGUAUUCUUGUUUUAAAUUUUAAAUGAUAUCGAGUUUAGACUUGGAAGCUUAGGUGUUGUAUUUUUCGAAUUAAUAGUGUUAUUCCACAUCAGAUUAGGUAUCAGCAUAUCGCAUG